rnacentral:rRNA from 1 species
GAAUCCCGUCUUUGACACGGACUGCCUGUACAUUAUGGUGUGCUCUCGAAGAGUCGAGUUGUUUGGGGAUGCAGCUCAAAAUGGGUGGUAAAUGCCAUCUAAAGCUAAAUAUUGGCGAGAGACCGAUAGCGAACAAGUACCGUGAGGGAAAGAUGAAAAGAACUUUGGAAAGAGAGUUAAACAGUACGUGAAAUUGCUGAAAGGGAAACGCUUGAAGUCAGUCGCGUUGGCUAGAAAUCAACCUUGCUUUUGCUUUGUGUACUUUCUGGUUGACGGGUCAGCAUCAAUUUUGACCACUGGAUAAAGUCUUUGGGAAUGUGGCAUCUUCGGAUGUGUUAUAGCCCAUUGUCGCAUACGGUGGUUGGGAUUGAGGAACUCAGCACGCCGCAAGGCCGGGUUUCGACCACGUUCGUGCUUAGGAUGCUGGCAUAAUGGCUUUAAUCGACCCGUCUUGAAACACGGACCAAGGAGUCUAACAUGCCUGCGAGUGUUUGGGUGGAAAAACCCAUGCGCGCAAUGAAAGUGAAAGUUGAGAUCCUCUUCAAAGGGGGAGCAUUGACGCCCGGACCAGACCUUUUGUGACGGAUCCGCGGUAGAGCAUGCAUGUUGGGACCCGAAAGAUGGUGAACUAUGCCUGAAUAGGGUGAAGCCAGAGGAAACUCUGGUGGAGGCUCGUAGCGAUUCUGACGUGCAAAUCGAUCGUCAAAUUUGGGUAUAGGGGCGAAAGACUAAUCGAACCAUCUAGUAGCUGGUUCCUGCC